UAAAAGUUUUUCCUUUCCUUUCAUUUUCACUCAUCCCCACUCUCGUUCCCGUUCGUUCUGAUUCGCCUCCAACGUUCCAUUCUCGACCUAUCUUCGCUGUUCCAUUCUCGAUUCGCCUCCGUCAUCACGUUCUCGAUUCGCCUCCUUGGUUCCAUUUCGAUCCUCCUCCGUCGCUCCCGUUCUCGGUCCUCCAUCAUCGUUCUCGGUCCUCCAUCGCCGUUCUUGGUCCUAAAGAACCAUUGAAUAGUUUGAAUACUUAAACACAAACAUCAAAUGCUUGUUCUUCACUCGUAUGCUUCUGGAGUUCUGAUUGGGUAGUUUUUACUUGAGCAGCUCGCCGAAGGUGGUACAGCUGUAGGAACUGGAUUGAAUACUGUUCUUGGCGUCUAUCAUCACAUGCAGAAAAACAUUGGCUUGUAAUGUGCUCAUAUUCUCCUUUUGCAGGCUGCCCGUGAUGCUUUUGUUGAAACUAGUAGAGUCCUCAACACAAUUGCAGCUUCCUUAAUGAAGAUUGCUAAUGAUACUUUUUAUAUGAAGGCAUUAAGAGACGGUUGGGAGAGCCAAUUUCAGUGGGUGUGGACGAUCAACAGACUUUGAUGCUGCAGCCAGUGCAGAAAAAUCUCUUGAGACAUGCUCACUUGUAGAGCAUAUAUUACAUUUGGAACCAACCGAGGGGGAAGAUAUUAGUGUAUGUGUUUGUUUAGCAAGUUUGAUGUCAUUAUUUGAUGAAAAAGGAGACAAAGCAGGAUCCACCUACAUUGAGUUGAAAAAUUGUCAUUUGAAGGAUUUGCGAAUUUUGUAAAGGAGAUGUUGUUGCUAUUACCAAUGCAUUAGAACGAUAUCAGGAAUUGGAUCCAAGUUUUCUGGAAGGCGUGAAUAUAGACUUUUGGCAGAUGUUGCUGCUGCAAUUGAUGAAGAAGACGUUGGAAAGUUCAAUGAAGUUGUGAAGGAGUUUGAUGACAUGAUUCCUUUUGAUUCUUGGAAAACAAAACUUAAUCUGAGGGAACUUGAGGAGGAUGAUCUGACUUGAAUUGUAUCUUAGUUUUGUGAUGGUUGCGCUUCAGGUUUGAUUGUCUAAAUGGGAACUCUAAAAGCAUUCGGGUUUGUUCAUGUAGAUGCCUACUACAAUUGAGGAGUUGGAAGCAGCAAUCUUAUUUGUCAAUCGUAACAUAUUGGAACAAUAUAGAAGAUCUUGCAAAAAAAACUCAAUGCAAACAAGAAGGAAUCUAGAAAGUGUCUAGCUGAAUUGGAUGAUAUUAAGGGAAAAUGGCUUCCAACACUCAGAUAAAUGAAACUUUUGGUCGAAAUUUUCAACAGAUAGCUGUUGUCGGAGGGGUUUCACUAGAUGAGCAUGAUAUGGACUUUUGAUCAAUUUGGAAUUUAUAUAACAGGUGACGGUUGUUCUGAACCAGUUAUUUUGUUUAUUCCUUUUAUAAGAAUGUGCUUUCAUAGCGUCACUACUCUUUCUUAUUAUUGGUUGAUGUAACUUCUGGUUACCAGUCAACUUCAAUGUUAAGAGGGAAACCCAACCUACACAAUUACACAGUUGUUGAUUCUAAUCAUGAUUUAGGUCACUUCUAUGGUAAAAAAACCAAUUUUUUUAUUUUAUCAGAGAAAAUGAACUGCUUGAAGUUUUCAGUGCUCAUCACAAGUCUGGAGGGGUACUACUACAUGGAUUAUUUUCUUAUUAGUGCAUUUGUGCUCGCCCCACUCACUAAUUAACCUUAAAUAUUGGUUUUUCCAGGACUUUCAACCAUUGUUUAUCUUGUUUCCCUUCAAGAUCUUACGAACUCUCCAUUUAGAGUUGUUGAUGAGAUCAACCAAGAUGUUUGAGCAAUUAGUGAGAGCGUCAAGCAAGCCAAAUACACCAUAGUGAGUACCAACUAAUGUGCUCAGUUCCCCCAUAACGCGAGAGUGACCAUUAAUCUUAUGUAGGUGUUUCUUACUUACUCCAAAGUUGUUACCAGAUCUGCAAUAUAGCUGAGGCAUGCCAUAUAUUGAAUGUAAUGAAUGGUCCUUGUAUUGAGCAACCUUUAAAGGUCUGGACUACGGGUGAUCCAUGGAGUAUUAUCACCGGGCAUGUUGGAGAGAUCAUGUGUCAAACGCCAUGGAGUUGCAAUGGGGAUUCAUAGCAUUUGUUUAGCAUUUUGUAUAGUUUUUUGGAAAAAAAAAACAAAGUUUGCAUGGGAGGGAACUUGUUUUUUUCCCUUCAUUAAUUAUAUUGGAUAUACAUAACAAUGUAAACAUACCUUUUUUUUUUUGUUACUGUAGUAUUGAGGAUUAAUAAAUAUUUCUUAUAUUGCUUGUACAAAGGUAAGGUUUUAAUGCAUCUUA